rnacentral:tRNA from 1 species
CAUUAAGAAGCUAUGAACCAGCACUAGCCUUUUAAGCUAGAGAGAGAGGGGCCUCCCCUCCUUAAUGA